UGGUUUCUCCCUAUGAAUGGAUUGGAUUGAAUAAGGCAGGGGACUUAGGGGAGAUCAUGAUAUUUCAACUCCCCAGUUCAGAGGCUUCUCGUGCACACUCGACUCUCCCUCUGCCUGACUCGUCCUCUCCUCUCUCAGACCCAGCUCCGUCCACCGUUCAUCCUUCGUCGUCCUGACUGGCUGACGCCUCUCGUCCAUCUCUCAGAUUCCCUGAACUCCGCUUCUCUUCUCCGACCACCAGGCACAACCAUCAUCUCCUCUCAAGUUUCAACUCCCGACUCCGACUACCUCCAUCAUCUCUUCUCUGUCCCGAUUCCGACCACCACUAACCAUCAUCACCUCUCAACUGAAGUCGAUAGCUCGAACCCUCCACUACCGAGUAAGAACACACUUAGGUGGAUACUUAUUGAGAAGUAAAGAAUGGAUGAGACCAUGAAGCAAUUCCAAAAAAGCUUAAUUGAACUCGAGACUGAAGCUGAGCAUCUCCUCCUAGCUCGGAACCAGAUGGUUGAAAAUGACAGGGUGAGGAAUGGGAACAGAGAAGCACUUACAUCUCUGAGGAAGAUAGCUCAGACAACCAAAACUAGUGUUCCAUCUCCUUUUGAAUCAAUAAUGAAGGAGAUUGGGGGGCCUCAAUCAAGACCUCUGGUGAAGGAGGUAUGCCCUACCUGUGGCAACCAUGAUUCAAAUGAGCGCACUUGGAUGAUGUUCCCGGGAACUGAUGUCUUUGCAAGGAUUCCAUUUCAUGCUGCCCAUACCAUCUUGGAGACAGAACAAGAGCAACUUGAUUUAGACUCUAGAAGGUUGCAAGGCAUUGUGAAGGAGAAAUCCCUUGUGAUUUCGGACAAAGGUGCCCUUGCUGACAAGAUCUGUCCGGGUGUGCUGAAGUCCUUGGUAACCCUGUCAGACAAACCAAAGGAUUGAUUGGAAUGGAAAAGCUAGCAAUUGUCACUACUUGCGGAAUAGGAAAAGUGUGAUGUAUCUUAUUUAGAUUUCACCUCCCUCUUACUUGUGUUAUAAAAAGUUGUGAUAUGUGUGGUGUAAGCAAACUGUGUUUCUCUCGCUGCGGCGGAGGACAAGCGUGCUUGUCUUGGGAAGGAGAGGAACUGAACCGUGGAUCACUUUGCAGGCAGAGAGGCACAAGAAAUGCUUGAGAAGGCAUUCCACUAGAGCAGUUCACCGUGGGUUAAUCCCCUAGGGGAUUGGCUCUUUAAUCCCCAAGGGUAACAAUUUAGUACGCAUGGCAUUUAAUGUAAAGUAUAAUUGAUCAGAUAUGAUUCAAGAUGAUAAUCUAGAAGGAUUAUACUGUUAUUUCUUUUGUUACUUGAUUUUAUGGCUUUAGGUAACCAUUUAUAUAGGAGAAGAAAAUUAAUAUCAUUUUUUUCUUCUUUUUUUUUUUUGCCUUGUAUUUAGGAAACUGUGUUUGUGUUGCUUUGUUAUUGUCUUUGAGAGGAAGAGAGUUUUGUUUUUUAAAGAUAAUUUAACUUUGUACUUUGUAGUUCGAUAUAGAUAGAUGUUUGAAUCUGUACUAGCAACCAUUUGGACAGAAUUGAAAACUUAUUAUAAUUGUAUCAAUGUAUAUUUUCAAGAAACCAUA